UACAGAGGUCCCAAGCGUUGUUCGGAUUCAUUGGGCGUAAAGGGCGCGUAGGCGGCCACCGCAAGUCGGUUGUGAAAUCUCUGGGCUUAACCCAGAAAGGUCAACCGAUACUGCGGGGCUAGAGUGCAGAAGGGGCAACUGGAAUUCUCGGUGUAGCGGUGAAAUGCGUAGAUAUCGAGAGGAACACCUGCGGCGAAGGCGGGUUGCUGGGCUGACACUGACGCUGAAGCGCGAAAGCUAGGGGAGCGAACGGA
rnacentral:rRNA from 1 species